AGGGUUCGAUUAUGGCUCAGGAUGAACGCUGGCGGCGUGCUUAACACAUGCAAGUCGAACGAACCUUCGGGUUAGUGGCGGACGGGUGAGUAACGCGUGAGAAUCUGCCCUCAGGAGGGGGAUAACGGUUGGAAACGACCGCUAAUACCCCAUAUGCCUACUGGUGAAAUGAAUUUCGCCUGAGGAUGAGCUCGCGUCUGAUUAGCUAGUUGGUGAGGUAAUGGCUCACCAAGGCUUCGAUCAGUAGCUGGUCUGAGAGGAUGAUCAGCCACACUGGGACUGAGACACGGCCCAGACUCCUACGGGAGGCAGCAGUGGGGAAUUUUCCGCAAUGGGCGAAAGCCUGACGGAGCAACGCCGCGUGAGGGACGAAGGCCUCUGGGCUGUAAACCUCUUUUCUCAAGGAAGAAGAUAUGACGGUACUUGAGGAAUAAGCCACGGCUAAUUCCGUGCCAGCAGCCGCGGUAAUAC
rnacentral:rRNA from 1 species